UACAGAGGGUGCGAACGUUGCUCGGAAUUACUGGGCGUAAAGCGCGUGUAGGCGGAGCGAUAAGUCGGGAGUGAAAUCCCCGGGCUCAACCCGGGAACUGCUUUCGAAACUGUCGUUCUCGAGUACCGGAGAGGGUGGCGGAAUUCCUGGUGUAGAGGUGAAAUUCGUAGAUAUCAGGAGGAACACCGGUGGCGAAGGCGGCGAUCUGGGUCGAUACUGACGCUGAGGUGCGAAAGCGUGGGGAGCAAACAGG
rnacentral:rRNA from 1 species